rnacentral:lncRNA from 1 species
AGCCGAGGCCACCCGGACGCGGCAAACAGGUCAACGUGGAGGUACCGGGCCACCAUGCUCAGUCUCAAGCUGCCUCAACUCCUUCGAGUCCAUCAGGUCCCCCGGGUGUUUUGGGAAGAAGGCAUCAUGUCUGGCUACCGAUGCCCCACAAGCUCUGCCUUAGACUGUGUCCUCAGCUCCUUCCAGAUGACUAACGAGACGGUCAACAUCUGGACUCACUUCCUGCCCACUUGGUUCCCAGAGCUAGAAAACCCCGGGCUCAGCAAGGUUCUCCGCACAGCCGCCUUUGCCUACCCCUUCCUGUUUGACAACCUCC